AACGAACGCUGGCGGCAUGCCUAACACAUGCAAGUCGAACGAGACCUUCGGGUCUAGUUGCGCACGGGUGCGUAGCGUGGGGGAAGCUGCCCUUAGGCUCGGAAUAACACUCCGACAGGGGUGCUAAUACCGGGAAACGUCUGCGAACAAAAGAUUCAUCGCCCUUGUGUGGGCCCGCGUUGGUUUAGCUUGUUGGGAGGGUAAAAGCCUAUCACGGCGACGAUAGAUAGCUGGGCUGAGAGGCUGAUCAGCCACACUGGGACUGGGACGCGGCCGAGAAUCUUACGGGAAGGAGGAGUGGGGAAUAUAGGAAAAUGGGGGAAGGCCUGAUCCAGCAAGGCCGCGUGAGUCAUGAAGUCGGUAGAGAUGUAAAGCUCUUUUAUCCGGCAUGAUAAUGACAGUACCGGGAGAAUAAGCACCGGCUAACUUCGUG
rnacentral:rRNA from 1 species